ensembl:rRNA 5S_rRNA 5S ribosomal RNA
GUCUAUGGCUACACCACUCUGAAUGCACUGAUCUUGCCCAAUCUCAAAAACUAAGCAGGGUCAAGCCCAGUUAGUACCUGGAUAGGAAAAGGGGCUUCUGCCAGGAUAGACU